rnacentral:rRNA from 1 species
GACGAACGCUGGCGGCGUGCUUAACACAUGCAAGUCGAACGGAAAGGCGCUGCUUUUGUGGGGUUCUCGAGUGGCGCACGCGUGAGUAUAACAUGAGUAACAUCUACUUGUAUUUCGGGUAACUUCUGGGAACUGGGGCUCAUACCGCAUAGGAGAUCCUGAAGCAUGGUGGGGGUUGGAAAGAUUCGGCUGUUGGGGCUGGACUGGCGGGUUAUCAGCUUGUUGGUGGGGUAGUGGCUGACCAAGGCUUUGACGGCUAGCCGGCCUGAGAGGGUGACCGGCCACAUGGGGACUGCGAUACGGCGCAGUAUGCAACGGGAGGCAGCAGUGGGGAAUAUGGCGCAGUGGGCGGAAGCCUGAGGCAGCAGCGCCGCGUGCGGGAUGACGGCCUUCGGGUUGUAAACCGCUGUCGCCGGAAACGAGGCGUGAGUGACGGUAAUUGGUAAAGAAGCACCGGCUAACUACGUG